rnacentral:rRNA from 1 species
AUUGAACGCUGGCGGCAUGCUUUACACAUGCAAGUCGAACGGUAACAGGUCUUCGGAUGCUGACGAGUGGCGGACGGGUGAGUAAUACAUCGGAACGUGCCUAGUAGUGGGGGAUAACUACUCGAAAGAGUAGCUAAUACCGCAUGAGAUCUACGGAUGAAAGCAGGGGACCUUCGGGCCUUGUGCUACUAGAGCGGCUGAUGGCAGAUUAGGUAGUUGGUGGGGUAAAGGCUUACCAAGCCUGCGAUCUGUAGCUGGUCUGAGAGGACGACCAUCCACACUGGGACUGAGGCACGUCCCAGACUCCUACGGGAGGCAGCAGUGGGGAAUUUUGGACAAUGGGCGAAAGCCUGAUCCAGCAAUGCCGCGUGCAGGAUGAAGGCCCUCGGGUUGUAAACUGCUUUUGUACGGAACGAAAAGCCUGGGGCUAAUAUCCCCGGGUCAUGACGGUACCGUAAGAAUAAGCACCGGCUAACUACGUGCCAGCCGCCGCGGUAA